CGAUCACCGACUUGCUUACAUGGGAAGAUACACGUGUACACGUUUAAAUGUGUAUGCUCAGCCGCUGUGGGUCGUCGUCUUCCUCCACUCUCUCGAGGUGAAGCGGCCCCAGAUACGAAACGUGCGCGGAGCACGAUAUAUAUGUAUGUAUGUAUGUAUGUAUAUAUGUAUACGUAUAUCGUGGGCACGACCGCAUGCAAUGAGCGAGAGCACCGCUGAGCUGCAGCGGGCCAGACGCCGCUACAAAGCGCUUGUUCGCGAGCGGGGGUCGCUAGCCAGCUCUGGCGCCAGCGAUCCUGUGGUCGAGGAGGAAAUCCGCAAGCUAGAGGAAAAGUACGCAGAGCUGAAGCCACACUCGCCGCCGCCACUGCCAGGCCACUGCACUGCGACAUCUGCACCUGUGGCACCCUCCGCAACUAGCGAGGAGGUUGCAAAGCCGUCGUUGACUAUGGCACCCUCUGCCUCCCCGUCGACCGAACUGCACCUCACACCCUCCAUGCCGCAGCCGUGCGCUCCGACGGACGAGCUGCGCGUUGAGGCUGUGGACACAGAUCAUCAGGCUCGCGCGGCACAAUCGAGGGCCGGCGCGCAGCUUCCGGCCAAGCUCGGCAGCCACCUUGUUCUCUUCUUCCUCCGGUUGUUCAACGAAACACACCAAAAAUCGCUCCUCGGCUGCUGGAACUGCGCGGCCAUCGUAGCCCUUUCGAUCGUCGUCGCCGUGUUGCACUGCACGGUGCUUGACCCGUCGUCUACAGCCGGCUCCCUCAUCACGCCCUCUUUUUUGUGUUGCCUCGUGCACGCCAGCAACCUUGCAUCCUUGUACACGCAGCACAGACGACGGCUGAGUGCUCCCAUGCUCGUUGUGUACGUCUGCUUGGACGCUGUUCCAUCGCUUGCGCUCGACUUGGUCGUCUACAACCUUUCCUUGACACUGAUGGGGUUCUACGGCCUUCACCCAGCGUCCUUCGUUUGCUAAGCGCGACGCAUUCACAGCUGGCACUCGCUCGAUGGCGUGAGCUCACUGAUGCACAUGAGCCUUCUUUUCUUUGAUGGCCUCGUUGCGCAUCUUGCGCUGCAUCUGGGCACAUGCAGCUGGCGCUGCUGGCCCGUCGCGUGCGCCUCUCCUUUCCGCUUGUCUGUUACCAUUGCGAUUUGGAGCACAACGACGAAGUGGUCAAGCUUCCAAAGUCGGAAAUACCAGAGGACCCGGAUUCAGCCGCCGUGCAACAGAGUGCCAGGUGAGCUGUGGCUGUGCGUGCGUCUGUGUGCUGCCUUGCUCGCGGUAGAAUACGCACAUUGUAGAAAAGCGAAUAUGGUUGUGCUCCCCGUUCUCUCCCGCCCACUCCCGUCGAUGGACGAGGAGGGGUGGGAUGAGGGUGAGGGAGUCAAGAAGCUAAUGAGAUGCAGGCAAGCGUCCCCUCCCUCCCUCCCGUAGAACAAAAAAAGAGAAAAGAGUACGGAGAGCACACGUGUGAGAAGGUUCGUUGGACGCACAGCGCACAAGUUGCGCCCCACUGGGGAUGUCGACAUGGACUCCUUGGAUGCCACACCGCCUCCCGAGGGGCCCACCGAGAGUGGCAGGCAUGCCGGCAAGCGCAUACGCACACACCAAUAAAAGACAUC
rnacentral:misc_RNA from 1 species